rnacentral:rRNA from 1 species
UACGGGGGGGGCAAGCGUUGUUCGGAGUUACUGGGCGUAAAGGGCUCGUAGGCGGCCAACUAAGUCAGACGUGAAAUCCCUCGGCUUAACCGGGGAACUGCAUCUGAUACUGGAUGGCUUGAGUUCGGGAGAGGGAUGCGGAAUUCCAGGUGUAGCGGUGAAAUGCGUAGAUAUCUGGAGGAACGCCGGUGGCGAAGGCGGCAUCCUGGACCGACACUGACGCUGAGGAGCGAAAGCCAGGGGAGCAAACGGG